UACGGGGGGAGCAAGCGUUGUUCGGAUUUACUGGGCGUAAAGGGCGCGUAGGCGGUCAGCACAAGUCAGUUGUGAAAUCUCCGGGCUUAACUCGGAAAGGUCAACUGAUACUGUGCGACUAGAGUGCAGAAGGGGCAACUGGAAUUCUCGGUGUAGCGGUGAAAUGCGUAGAUAUCGAGAGGAACACCUGCGGCGAAGGCGGCCGCCUGGACCUGACCUGACGCUGAGGCGCGGAAGGCGUGGGGAGCGAACGGG
rnacentral:rRNA from 1 species